GUGCUUGCUUUGCCAGCACGUAUACUAAAAUUGAAAUGAUACAGAAAAGAUUAGUAUGGUCCCUGUGCAAGGGUGAUACACAAAUUUGUGAAGCGUUCCAUAUUUUU
rfam:Tupaia chinensis contig26524, whole genome shotgun sequence.